AACUGAUAUCUCCCCAUAUUUUCCUCCAAAUAAAAUAAAGCUCUCAACUAUCAUGUUUUAAUAAUUGAAACUCACACCUUAUGGUACUACCAAUAUUUGAAGAGAAACAACAUGUUAGUCUACAUGGUAAUAUGCUAUACAGAGAGAAAAUUCAAGUUUUAUAAUUGCAGAGGGACAAAUGCCUGUAUAAAUGUUAUUGCCAAGUUGCACAUGCUGUUUAUUAAAUGAUGAAAUUUAACAAGUAAAGCCAUUGGAAGCAUAAAGAAGAUUCCUUUGGUUUUGAAAAGAACAGAGGUAGUGUGUUCAAUAGAUUUAUUUUCUUGAUGUUGAAGCAGGUGUACUUUCAUCAUGAGUACUUUCCAUUUAUUAGAAGGACAUUGGUUAAACUUUAAGUCAGUGAUUUUCCUCCCCUUCAAAGUCCUAACAUUAUUACAGUCUUAAACUAUCUUCUAUUGGACAUAUGAAAUGGCUUUCUCUAAUAUAACUGUAAUGUUAGAAAAGAAGUUGAGGAAGGAGAAGUAAAUAAGAAGAUGCAAAAUGUAAACUUUGUUAAAUGAUCUAUUUAAUAGUCUGAUACAUGCUUUACAAAUUAUGUUUGAAGUUUAAUUAUAAUUAACCACUAUUUAAAAUCUAAUUCACUCAUGGGCUCAUUUCCUGAUUCAGAGUUCAAUGUUAUUCCUUUUGCUGGUUUUAUUACAUUGAAACCUUAAUCUAAGUUAUCUCUGCUUCCUAUUUACCUUCAUUUGUCUGGAUGUACUUGAAAAUGCACCAGGCCAAAAACACCAAAACCUUUCCCCUAUUCACCACUCUGUACAACUCUUCAAAACUCUAGGAUAUGCUGCAUAAUAAAAAUAUUAAUUUCAAUGGAAAAUCAAGAUGUCACGGAAUUUUGUCAUGAACCCACAAGAAUAAUACACCAAAAAGAGGGUAAGAUUUUUGUUUUACUUCUUGAUGGUGAGAAUUAUCAUUUUUAAGUUAGUUCUUUCACAGUAUAUAACCUGUCUUUGCAUGGGAAGAAAAUAAACAAUGGGGCUCGUUUUACAUAAAGAAAAAUCAACCUAAUUUUUUUCUUUCAUUUUUCUGCAGAAGUAUAUGAGAAAAACUUGCGGGGUAUCCACUCACUUCAAUUCAGUCAUUUUAAGAAAUUAUGAAAAUUCUGAUAAGUUUUAAUACUUUCAUUUGCUCUGGCAUAGUAUAAAUACGCACUGAUCUAUCAUCACAGAUACCACUGCUUUCACACUACAAAGGUAAAGUUGAAUAGUUGCCAUGGAGACUGUAUGGCCUGCAAGGCUUGAAAUAUUUACUGUCUUGCCCUUUACAGAAAAAGUUUGCAGAUCCCUGUUCAAAGCCAUAAUACAGUUGGGGCUGGGCAUGUAGCCACCCAGCUAGAGAUGACAUUUGUGGGCCCGUUCUCAUUAUGUGUGACCACAACACUAGGUUUUCACUUUCAGACUACGAAUGGUACCGUGUAUUUCAAGAGUGAAAGAGCAAAAAAUGAUGGAUGCUAAUACACUAGAGGGAAAAAAUGGAAAGAGCUUGUGGAAAAGGUACAAGCAGGCUGAGAAGGUACAAGCCAGCUGCCUGAGCCGGGAGAAGUCACUCAACCUCUUUUUUACCUGCAUCUCAUUAGUAAAAUUAGGAGGCAGGAUGAAAUAAUUUAUAAGGUUGCUAUUAGCUUUAAAAUUUUUAUGAGUUCAGAGCCUUUAAAACAUGGUGUCUUCAGCAAAAACCACCACUGCAAUUUUUUUUUCAAUAUUCCUUUUUACCUAUAAUGGAAACAAGUUAAAAAUAAUAAGCCUAAUGUUCACAAAUCCAUUAAAUAUUUACUGGUUACUCUCCUGAUGACCGUUUUGAUUCAAUACAUGCUAUUAUAAAUCAUCAAUAUUUUCAAAAUUCAAAAAUGUACACAAAGGAAUUUUUUAGCUCCUGUGAUGGCUUUGAACUAAAGUAUGGUAUCUCUGUUUGUGUAAGUGUUUUCAUGCUUAUUCAUCAGUAAGCCUAAAAGUCUAGUAUAGUAAUAUAUAUAUACAUGCUAAGUGCUUAGUUUGUCAGUAUAGUUUUCUUCUUGAAUUGCAAAUUGAGUAGCUUUUCUAGGGUCCCCCAUUUUUUAAAAAAAUGUUAGUGUCCAGGCAACCAUCAGAAGAAGGAACUUCUUCAAACCCUGUGGCAUGCUAAUACUGAAACUAAAAUGAGUGUUAUUUCCCUUGUGGGAAAUGUUAAGGAUAAAGAGGAAAUAUGUAUAGAUAAGGAUAUUUGUUUUUAUAGAAAUAAUGUGAUCAUAUUAUUUUAUAAUUUUGUAAUUUUUCUCUUUUACUCUGUCUCUAAUAAUUGCUUUUUUAAUAUAAAGAAAAUCUUUCCAUUUUCUUCUUAAUGACAUAUUUCUAUCUUUUUAUUUUCCCCAGCUAUUCAUAGAAAUAGCUCUCUGUACACAUUAGAUGUGAUACAGUAAAUAUUUGUUGAUUAAUUAGCCUUUUCAAUGCUACUUCCAAGUCCUGCUUCACAUCCUCACUGUGACAAAUACUGUCCGUCACCACCUUAGCUUUCCAGCCCCAAUUCUAGGGGCAUGUAAUGCAGUUGUGGCCAGAGAGUCCCCAAACAACAUCUUCUAGGAAGAUUUUUCCAUACUUUUCAGACACUUUUUAUCCAACUUAUGAACAGUCUUGUGUGAAAUUAUCAGAAGCUACUGCAGCCACCUUAUAAGGCUGGAGAGUAAUGGAUACACUAAGGGUUGCAGAAAAAAGAUUCUGAAGCAACCCAGUACCACCCUACCUUUAUAAAAGAAUUUGUGAUAUGUGAUGCAAUAAAUGUUCCUUAUUGCUUAAGCCACUUUUAGUUGAGUUUUCUGUU